UAGCCAAGUCGUGUCCCCGAUCACACAGCUGUGCUAGGUGUGGUAUCUUUACUGGAACCGAUAAAUGCACCUCUGGCUCUUGAUAAUGCAAUUAUUGACUUGGUGAACAUUCUUUUCAAUUGCCAGUGGUAAAGAGGAUUAAAAGCAGUUCACAUUUAUAUGGGAAGGACAGCUCUGUAAAUGGUCUUGCUUCUUGCUGUCUGAACUCUCCUGUUCUCUGUCACAAUAGUCCUUAGGUAGCUUAUCAUCUAUAUUCCAUAUAACAUUGAUGAUGUCAUACUAGUUGGACAUGGUGAAGAAGGCCGUGCAUGUCAGAGGAUGAGCGAGAAGCCCUCAGAAGUUCUGGAGCCUGCCAUAUCAGUGACAUUCUCAGGGGUGCAGCGUUUGAGGGCAAGCCAGGGACAAGUUAUUGCAUCCUGCAUCCUUACAAGGAAGAAAGAGGCACAGCAUUGAGGCACCUCUGUGUUUUGGAGUCAGCAUGCACCGCGCUAGAGGAUACCUCUCUGACCCCUUUAUUGGAGGAGUUGGUGAACAGCAGGAUGGAUGGGAUGUCAGUCAGCUGUGCCCCUGGCUACCCCUGUGCUUGAACAGUGGACUGUGAGUGGCGGCGUCAUGCAGAAGGAGCACAGGGUCCCAGGCCAGCAUCACUAUCCAGGAGCUUCAGGCAUGCUCCGUGUACCAACAUGGGAUCACGAAUCACAUCGCCUCAGGCCAAGAAAGCCAUUUUAUAGCGAAAGAGCCUUAGGAUCUGCUGGAUUAGAGCCUGUUUCCCAGGUAGGAACGCUUCCACGAGGGCACUCCUGCUGGUUGCAGGAAGGAUACCUCUGCUGAGCCUGAAUCUGCAAAGACCACCAGGUUACUCUCAGCUCCUCAUACUGGUGGACCAGCAGGCCACAAAGGAGGGGAUACUUGAUCCUGAUAAACGGUUAUGCUUGUUUGCUGAUGGAAAUGAUCCAGAAGAGAAGGACAAGUUGACGAUUGAGAGGGUUAAUGUCAGGUAAGAAACUUGAGUGGACAUUGAGGAAAGAGCGAGGUUCAGUGGACUGGAGGUUUGUGGUGGUUUCAUGACACGUGGACUGGAGAUUUGCAGUGGUUUUAUGACACAUGGACUGGAGGUUUGUGGUGGUUUCAU
rnacentral:lncRNA from 1 species